rfam:Gossypium raimondii chromosome 6, whole genome shotgun sequence.
GAAAACCAUAUUCGAUGAAAGUCGAAUGUACGGCUUGGAGGGAAAUCUUUCAUAUUUUUUGAGAUCCACCCUAC